UGUUGCUUGCAAGGGCGUAUGGUGGAUGCCUUGGCAGACAGGACCGAUGAAGGACGUUUGAGGCUGCGAUAUGCCUCGGGGAGCCGCCAACAGGGCUUUGAUCCGAGGAUUUCCGAAUGGGGGAACCCACCGACCGUCAUGGGUCGGUACCGGCUUCGGCCGGGGGGUACGCAGGGAAGUGAAACAUCUCAGUACCUGCAGGAAAGGAUAUUCCGUGAGUAGUGGCGAGCGAAAGCGGAUGAUGGCCAAACCUUGCGCGUGUGAUACCCGUCGGGGGUUGCGCGCGGGGUGUUGCGGGAUCGCGUGCGCCGGCUCCGACGGGCCGGCCGGCAGUUGCAGAAAACCAUGUGUCAGGGGAACCGGGUUGAAUACCGGGCCGCAGAGGGUGAGGGCCCCGUACCUGAACGCGCAUGGUCUGCCGAUCGCGUCUCCCAAGUAGCACGGGUCCCGUGGAACCCCGUGCGAAUCCGCCCAGACCGUUGGGUAAGCCUGAAUAUUCCUGUCUGACCGAUAGCGAACGAGUACCGUGAGGGAAAGGUGAAAAGUACCCCGGGAGGGGAGUGAAACAGUCUCUGAAACCGUGCGCCUACAAUCCGUCGGAGCCCUUUUGUGGGGUGACGGCGUGCCUAUCGAAAAAUGAGUCUGCGAGUCAGUGGCAUGUGGCGAGCAUAACCCGUGUGGGGUAUGCGUAGCGAAGGCGAGUCUUAAAAGGCGUUUGAGUCGCGUGUCCUGGACCCGAAGCGGGAUGAUCUAGCCCUGAGCAGGUUGAAGCGCGGGUAAGACCGCGUGGAGGACCGAACCCACCUGGGUUGAAAACCGGGGGGAUGACCUGGGGCUAGGGGUGAAAGGCCAAUCAAAUUCCGUGAUAGCUGGUUCUCUCCGAAAUGCAUUUGGGUGCAGCGUCGGGUCAUUACGUCCCGGGGGUAGAGCUACUGGAUGCUUGCGGGCCCGUAUCGGGUACCAACAGCAACCAAACUCCGAAUACCGGUGACGCGUAUCCCGGCAGUGAGUCGGCGGGGGAUAAGCUUCGUCGUCGAAAGGGAAACAGCCCAGACCGUCGUCUAAGGUCCCGAAGCGUGUGCUAAGUGGGAAAGGAUGUGGAGUCGCAUAGACAGCCAGGAGGUUGGCUCAGAAGCAGCCAUCCUUGAAAGAGUGCGUAACAGCUCACUGGUCUAGUGGUUCCGCGCCGACAAUGUAGCGGGGCUCAAGCACACCACCGAAGACGCGGCAGUAUUUUGUACUGGGUAGGAGAGCGUCCCAUGAGGGGCGAAGCGGCCGUGUGAACGCGCCGUGGACUUCAUGGGAGUGAGAAUGCAGACAUGAGUAGCGAGAGACGGGUGAAGAUCCCGUCCGCUGGAUGACCAAGGGUUCCAGGGCCACGUUCAUCGUCCCUGGGUGAGUCGGGUCCUAAGGCGAGGCCGACAGGCGUAGUCGAAUGGAUGAACGGGUCGAUAUUCCCGUACCGGCUUUCAGCCGCCAAAACCGAGGCUUGGAGUACUAACCUCCGGGUCCGGGCUUACUGCUCCUUCGGGGGCGGGAUGCCCUGGCCUGUUGGGACCGAUCCUUGUAGUAGGUCAGCGCAGGAGUGACGCAGAAGGGUAGCCGGCCGCGGAGGUGGUCUUCCGUGGUCAAGCACGCAGGGCGUGGGACAGGCAAAUCCGUCCCGCAUGGGUCCGAGGUGCGAUGAUGGGGGCCUUAUGGCCCGAUAUCCGGUGAUCCCGGCUGCCGAGAAAAGCUUCGGCGUCAGGCUCAAAGCCGCCCGUACCCCAAACCGACACUGGUGGUCAGGUAGAGAAUACCAAAGCGAUCGAGCGAAUCCUGGUCAAGGAACUCGGCAAAUCACUCCCGUUCCUUCGGUUUAAGGGAGACCCCCGAUGGUGAACACACUUGCUGUGGGAGCUUUUGGGGGUGGCACAGACCAGGGGGUAGCGACUGUUUACCAAAAACACAGGUGCAUGCGAAGGCGCAAGCCGCUGUAUAUGCACUGACGCCUGCCCGGUGCCGGAAGGUUAAGAGGAUCCGUCAGUCCCUUUUGGGGUGAAGCGGUGAAUUCAAGCCCCGGUAAACGGCGGUGGUAACUAUAACCAUCCUAAGGUAGCGAAAUUCCUUGUCGGGUAAGUUCCGACCUGCACGAAUGGCGUA
rnacentral:rRNA from 1 species